UGUGCUGAUUCCACGAGUGGAGUGAGAGCAAUCGAGAAUCGUCACUUUGCUCUCGAAUGAACUCCUUGUUUUGAUUCCGAUAGUCGACUCGAAUGAGGUGAGAAGUUCACUUUCGUUGCGAGUAAUGGCAAUGAACCAAAACAAAUGCGAUGUUUUUCGCAGAGCUGUCAAACCGGCGGUGAAACAAGAAAGCGCUUUGGUAAUGGCGUAUUCAAAAAGCGUAUUUUUUAUAUGUUUUCUGAUCCCGUCAAUUUUUUAUAUUUUUACGUAAUAUACAUGGAGUAUUGAUUGUAAAAUAAAAGUUUUAUAGGUUGUUAUUAUUGGAAGGUAUAUUGCUGUUGGUUAAAGUGAGUAUUUUCAUCAUUUCGAUAACGCAGAUUUUUCCAACGUUUAGCCCUUAUCUAAAGCUUCUCGUUUGUUUUGUGUUGAUGUGCUUCUGGUGCUCCUGCUUCCAAACAUUUCUACACAAAAAUACUUUUUUGAUCGUGGCUUCGCGUAAUUUGUACCUUGGAAACAGUAGUAUCCCGGUGUCGGAAUCCGGAAAAGGCAUGCGCUGGCGGUGGCAGAAGUUUGAUGGUGAAUGAUACGGGGACUGUUAUUUUGAGAUAACCAUCGAUAGUUUCGGCCUUGCUCGCGUAAACGUAAAACGGAGGAGAAGUUGCAGUGUACCGGUACCGACCACACCGAUAGGUAAUUCGGUAAUUCUAUUGGAUGGAGUUUAUCACACCUGAAUUUGCUACCUUUCGGCCGUAUCGAUGAUAAUUGUAGAUUUGAAACGGAUGGCAAGAGCUGAGACCGAGAUGAAGGACGUUUGCUGCGAAAAUCAUUUUCUACUAAGGAUUUCUCGUCAUACAAGUGGACCUUGGGCGGCCUGUGGGCCUGCCUGAUAAUGUGCAUAAUUCCGAGUAGAAUUUGUUGUAGAAUCGCACACAGAAAUUGAUGUUAAGCUAUUACCGAAGAAAUGGGUGGCAUGGUGGCAUCUUUCUAAGGCUAAUAAAUCUAUUCAACAUUGUUCUUAA